rnacentral:rRNA from 1 species
UGUCAGCCGCCGCGGUAAUACGGAGGAUGCAAGCGUUAUCCGGAUUCAUUGGGUUUAAAGGGUUCGCAGGCGGCGUAUUAAGUCAGUGGUGAAAUGCCUCCGCUCAACGGAGGAACUGCCAUUGAUACUGGUAUGCUAGAGUAUAGUUGGCGUAGGCGGAAUAUUUCAUGUAGCGGUGAAAUGCUUAGAUAUGAAAUAGAACACCGAUCGCGAAGGCAGCUUACGAAGCUAUAACUGACGCUCAUGAACGAAAGCGUGGGGAUCAAACAGGAUUAGAUACCCUGGUAGUCCACGCUGUAAACGAUGAUUACUCGUUGUCGGCGAUAUACCGUCGGUGGCUAAGCGAAAGUGAUAAGUAAUCCACCUGGGGAGUACGAUCGCAAGGUUGAAACUCAAAGGAAUUGGCGG